rnacentral:rRNA from 1 species
AGAGUUUGAUUAUGGCGUCAGGAUGAACGCUGGCGGCGUGCCUAACACAUUCAAGUCGAACGGGACUUAUUCGGUAGCAAUACCGGAUAAGUUUAGUGGCGGACGGGUGAGUAACGCGUGAGCAAUCUGCCUCCGGUUGCGGGACAACACAGGGAAACUUGUGCUAAUACCGCAUAAACCGGCAGCACCGCUUGGUGCAACCGGCAAAGAAUUUCGACCGGAGAUGAGCUCGCGUCCGAUUAGAUAGUUGGCGGGGCAACGGCCCACCAAGUCUGCGAUCGGUAGCCGGACUGAGAGGUUGAACGGCCACAUUGGAACUGAGAUACGGUCCAGACUCCUACGGGAGGCAGCAGUGGGGAAUAUUGGGCAAUGGGCGAAAGCCUGACCCAGCGACGCCGCGUGAAGGAAGAAGGUCUUCGGAUUGUAAACUUCAGUCAACAGGGAAGAUCAUGACGGUACCUGUGGAGGAAGCCACGGCUAACUACGUGCCAGCCGCGGC